GAACGACUGCUAAGACUGGAUAGGAAGAUAAAAGGCAUCUUUUAUCUUUUAAAAGACCUAGUAAUAGGUAUGCUUUAGGAGGGGCUUGCGCCAUAUUAGUUAGUUGGUAGGGUAAUGGCCUACCAAGACGAUGAUGUGUAGCUGGACUGAGAGGUUGAACAGCCACAUUGGGACUGAGACACGGCCCAAACUCCUACGGGAGGCAGCAGUAGGGAAUUUUCGGCAAUGGAGGAAACUCUGACCGAGCAACGCCGCGUGAAUGACGAAGUACUUCGGUAUGUAAAGUUCUUUUAUCAAGGAAGAGAAGCAAAUGGCGAACCAUUUGUUUGCCGGUACUUGAUGAAUAAGCCCCGGCUAAUUAUGUGCCAGCAGCCGCGGUAAGACAUAAGGGGCAAGUGUUAUCCGGAAUUAUUGGGCGUAAAGGGUGCGUAGGCGGUCUAGUAAGUCAGUGGUGUAAUGGCAACGCUUAACGUUGUCCGGCUAUUGAAACUGCUAAACUUGAGUUAGAUAGAGGCGAGUGGAAUUCCAUGUGUAGCGGUAAAAUGCGUAAAUAUAUGGAGGAACACCAGAGGCGUAGGCGGCUCGCUGGGUCUUAACUGACGCUGAGGCACGAAAGCGUGGGGAGCAAACAGGAUUAGAUACCCUGGUAGUCCACGCCGUAAACGAUGAGUACUAAGUGUCGGGUUAAACCGGUACUGAAGUUAACACAUUAAGUACUCCGCCUGAGUAGUACGUACGCAAGUAUGAAACUUAAAGGAAUUGACGGGACUCCGCACAAGCGGUGGAUCAUGUUGUUUAAUUCGAAGAUACCCGAAAAACCUUACCAGGUCUUGACAUGUUUUUGCAAAAUGAUAGUAAUAUCGUGGAGGUUACCAGAAACACAGGUGGUGCAUGGUUGUCGUCAGCUCGUGUCGUGAGAUGUUAGGUUAAGUCCUAAAACGAGCGAAACCCUUAUCGUUAGUUGCCAGCACGUUAUGGUGGGGACUUUAACGAGACUGCCAAUGAUAAAUUGGAGGAAGGUGAGGAUCACGUCAAAUCAGCAUGCCCCUUAUGACCUGGGCUACAAACGUGAUACAAUGGCUGUUACAAGGGGUAGCUGAAACGCAAGUUCUUGGCCAAUCCCCAAAAACAGUCCCAGUCCGGAUUGAAGUCUGCAACUCGACUUCAUGAAGUUGGAAUCGCUAGUAAUCGCGAAUCAGCAUGUCGCGGUGAAUACGUUCUCGGGGUUUGUACACACCGCCCGUCA
rnacentral:rRNA from 1 species